CUUCUCCGCGGGAGCAGAGCGGUGACCGUACCAAAUCUGACACAGGAGGGCGAGGCGAAUAGCCUCAGGCGCGCGAGAGAACCCUACGUGAAGGAACUCGGCAAAUUAACCCCGUAAGUUCGCGAUAAGGGGUGCCCCCCGUAAGGGGGGCCACAGGAAAACGACAGCUACGACUGUUUACUAAAAACACAGGUCUCUGCGAAGUCGUCAAAGACGACGUAUAGGGACUGACGCUUGCCCGCUGUUGGAACGUUAAGGUGACUGGUUAGCCGCAAGGCGAGGCUGGGAACCGAAGCGCCAAUGAAGGGCGGCCGUAACAAUGACGGUCCUAAGGUAGCGAAAUUCCUUGUCGGGUAAGUUCCGACCCGCACGAAUAGCGUAACGACAGCUGUACUGUCUCCACGAGGGACUCGGCGAAAUUGUAGUUGUGGUGAAGAUGCCACAUACCCGCACCAAGACGGAAAGACCCCGUGAACCUUUACUGUAACCUAAUACUGGCUCUAGGUUCGCCAUGUGUAGCAUAGGUGGGAGACGUUAAUGUCGGGGGCGCCAGCCUCCGAAUAGUCUUCAGUGAAAUACCACUCUUGGCGAUCUUGGAGUCUAACCUGCGACCGUUAUCCGGCGUGGGAACAGUGUUAGGCGGGCAGUUUGACUGGGGCGGUCUCCUCCUAAAAGGUAACGGAGGAGUGCAAAGGUACCCUCAAUGCGGUUGGCAAUCGCAUGAAGAGCGUAAAGGUAUAAGGGUGCUUGACUGCGAGACACAUAGGUCGAGCAGGUACGAAAGUAGGUCUUAGUGAUCCGGUGGUCCCGUGUGGAAGGGCCAUCGCUCAUCAGAUAAAAGGUACUCCGGGGAUAACAGGCUGAUCACGCCCAAGAGUCCAUAUCGACGGCGUGGUUUGGCACCUCGAUGUCGGCUCAUCGCAUCCUGGGGCUGAAGGCGGUCCCAAGGGUUGGUCUGUUCGCCCAUUAAAGCGGUACGUGAGCUGGGUUUAGACCGUCGUGAGACAGGUCGGUCCCUAUCUGGUGUGGGCGCAGGAUGAUUGCGGAGACUCUUUCCUAGUACGAGAGGAUUGGAAAGAACGGACCUCUGGUGUGCCAGUUGUCGCGCUAGCGGCAUCGCUGGAUAGCUAUGUCCGGGCUGGAUAAGCGCUGAAAGCAUCUAAGUGCGAAGCCAACUCCAAGACUGGUCAUCCCAUGAGACACCUGGUAGACCACCAGGUUGAUAGGCCGGAAGUGUAAGGACAGCAAUGUUCUCAGCUAACCGGUACUAACCAGUCGAUCGGCUUGAUC
rnacentral:rRNA from 1 species